GGCUAGUCUGAGAGGCUCCUGUAACGAGGCUGGAACAGCCUCUGCCUGGGUAAUUAUUCACGUCUGGAAAGGGGGAAGAAAUCCCCUCUGGGAAGUGCUGGUUUAUAGGGCAUCACAACCUGGUGCAGCACAUUUCCUCAAGGGUAGGAAAAACUGUAGGAAAACGAGGGGAAAAAAAGGAGAUUUCAGGAUUGGAGUUGGGGUUUUGGUUGCUUUCAGGGACAAGAACUGUGACCACAGGGCUUGUGGGCAUCAUCAGGUGUGAGAUGAUCGCAGCAAUGCAGGUGCAGCAGCGGAGGGGUGAUGUUCCUUCUCCAGCCCCACGUGGGAGCAGCGUCUGGGGAAAACCAAAGCAAUGCCACUGCUUUGCUGGGUCUGAGCAUCCCUUGCACAGGUCCAAAGGCUCAGAAGAGAGGGAGUAAGCUUUAUGGGAACAGCUCACUUUUCCCUGCUAUCGGGGUGCUCUCUGGCACUGCACGCUCCCUGCAUGGGCACGCAGGAGGAACUUCCAGCCUUCAUCGCUCACCCUUCAGCACAGAGCUGAGCCUCCAUCUGCUCUGACGCCUUUCCCAUCUCCUGCAGCCCUCAGCAGCACAGGGCAAGGGCAGCCCCAUGGGUACCUCGUAAAUAGCCUGGCCUCAGAGCAGGAGCAGCUGGAGCACUGGUGGGAUGCUCACGGUCGAGAGCAGCGCCUUCUGCUGCUUGCCUGCCCUUGGGACCAGCAGGGAGACAGAGCCAUGGCCGAAGGAAAAGCAGAGAGGCUGGCCGGUGAAACAGAUGUUUAAGCAAUUUUGAAACUCAGUGCCCGCACAGCAACCGCGUGGAACCCCAAGGAGUUAUUCCAUCAGCAGCAUCACUACUGUGAUUUGCUGGAUCACCACUGCAAUCAGCUCCAGUGCCUAGCGAGGAACCUGAAGAGGAAGAGACAUAGGUAGAAAUGAAACAGAGAGAAAAGGACUUAAAGGAAGGGAGAGAAGGGGAGAGGUCAGGAAGGAUGAGAGCACCGCAAAGAAGUGGCCAAGCAAAGACAAUGCCUACAUGGGGAUUGCUGGCAGCUCACGGACACUGCCUUGUUUUUCCAGCAGCACUCUCAAGAGGAAAAGAUUUCAUCCCAAGUGCUGCUCCUUGAGCAGGCAAUCAUCUCUACCAUAACUGUGUGGGCUCUGGAGAAAUAAAUUAAGCCAGGCAGGCUCAAUCACAGUUGUGGCAGAGGCAAAGGAUUUAUGGCUGCAAGGCUCAGGGACGCAGGAUGCAGCGUGAUUCCGCAAACCCUCCUGCCCAGUGUUACAGGAGAUCACAAUGGGUCCAGGUGACAAAGGAUGCCCUGGUCCCGUGGCACCCAUACCCGGCAAGAGGAGUGCCUGUGUCCAAAAAAUAACAUUUCUAUGCCAUCUGGUAGGAUUAAGCAGCCCUGAGCAACUGCAUCCAGACCACGGCAUCCAAGGAGAAAUAUCAGACACCAAAGGUGCUUGGGUCCUGAGUGUCAGAAGGAAAUGUUUGGCUGCUUUGUACAAACGGGCAAGGGCAAAGCUAGAAAGCAGAGGUAUUUGCUUGUUCCUCACCCUUCACGUAAUGAAAAGCAAUAACAGAGAACAGUGGGAAGGAGAGGCACUAACAGCCUGGAUUUAUCCAGCUGUUGGAGAAAAAUCUCUACUGCUGACCUCUCGAUGAAAGUGUAGAUAACUGUUUUAGUUUUCAGAGAGGAUAGCCUCAAUUCUUGCAAAAAUCCCAUUUCUAGUCUUCAGGGGACUGAGCAGGGCCUUGAUCUAUAGCUCCAGUUUUCAAAGAGCAAAUGAAAUGCUUUCUCUUUUCAUCCAUAUCCCGCAAGGGCCAACCAUCAUGAAAAAUGGGAGUGCCUCCCUCGCAGGAGAUUACCAGUGAAAUUUCCUGGCUGAAAACCUGGGUUCUGUUCACCACUGCUAUUGUGGGUAAGAGUGUCCCAGGCCGACUCUUGCCUUUGAGAGCCUCCUGCAUUCAGCAUGCAAUGCAUGAUGGGGAGAAGGAAAGGAGGGAAGGUGGGGAUUUAGGAGCUGGAGGAAGGAGGAAAAGGAAGAGGAAGAGGAGAGAGAGAAAGAAGGAGAAGGAGGACAAAGACAAAGCAAAGACAAAGAUGAAGACAAAGAUGAUGAAGACAAAGACAAAGAUGAUGACGAUGAAGAUGAAGACAAAGAGCAGAUAUCUCCUCUGGAAGCAAGAAGCAGACACUGGAAUUGAGUAUUUUCAGCCUUUGAGGUUAUGUAGCCCGCAAAAACAUCUUCACUGCUCCCUGGAGAACUUCUGAUCCAUCCAGCAAUAACUGAGAGAGCACGUUGGGAGAUGUCUGACAGAGUGCCUUUGGGACUUUUUGAAUCUGUAGAUGAAGAGUUUCACUUUCCUCUAGGAAAAUGUCAGGGCAAAAAGAGCCAUGUUCCAGGUUGACCAAAACCAAUAAUUCUUUUAGUUUUCUUAUUUGGGCAUGGCCGUGGGUUGUUUCCACGCCAUCUUAUUCCCAGGAGUCACGAAAAGCAGCAGCUCCAUUGAUUUGAAGCGGGCUCAUCUGAAAACUAAACUCCAAAAAUGCCCAGUUUAUUGGUGCAGCUGCAGGGAUGACAUGACAAGAGCUGAGAAAGGGCACUGGGGCUGCUCAGGAAAGGGGUGAUUUCUUGCCCAGGGCUGAAGCCAUUCGCAGAUUUGAGGCUUGAGACACUUGAAGAUUUCUGGGAAAGGAACAAUGGAUUUGCUAAGUAUUAUUAUUUAAGUGACAAGGCUGAAAAUUGAAAAGAAAAUCUGUUUACCAAAAAUAACAAUAGUAGAUAUUUGUCAUCACUGUCAGACCCAUGCAAUUUCAUAGGUUUCAUAAGCUCCCAUUAAUUUUCUUGUUUGGGAGGAUUUGCUGUUUUAAUGAAACCUAUUUACACUGGCAACUGCUGGAAAAUCAUUCAUUAGUGGACAAGAACUAUUGAUUAUUUUCAUCCAACUACUCAGCCACGUAGUAGCCAAUUACUGGAACCAAGAAAUAAAGAAAUAUCAACAUUGUGUUCCUGCUCCUAUUUCCAGCAGAACUUUGCUCCC
rnacentral:lncRNA from 1 species